GGACGGGUGAGUAACACGUGGGUAACCUGCCCUGUAAGACUGGNGAUAACUCCNNGGGAAACCGGGGCUAAUACCGGAUGCUUGAUUGAACCGCAUGGUUCAAUCAUAAAAGGUGGCUUUCAGCUACCACUUACAGAUGGACCCGCGGCGCAUUAGCUAGUUGGUGAGGUAACGGCUCACCAAGGCGACGAUGCGUAGCCGACCUGAGAGGGUGAUCGGCCACACUGGGACUGAGACACGGCCCAGACUCCUAACGGGAGGCAGCAGUAGGGAAUCUUCCGCAAUGGACGAAAGUCUGACGGAGCGACGCCGCGUGAGUGAUGAAGGUUUUCGGAUCGUAAAACUCUGUUGUUAGGGAAGAACAAGUACCGUUCGAAUAGGGCGGCACCUUGACGGUACCUAACCAGAAAGCCACGGCUAACUACGUGCCAGCAGCCGCGGUAAUACGUAGGCGGCAAGCGUUGUCCGGAAUUAUUGGGCGUAAAGCGCGCGCAGGCGGUUUCUUAAGUCUGAUGUGAAAGCCCCCGGCUCAACCGGGGAGGGUCAUUGGAAACUGGGGAACUUGAGUGCAGAAGAGGAGAGUGGAAUUCCACGUGUAGCGGUGAAAUGCGUAGAGAUGUGGAGGAACACCAGUGGCGAAGGCGACUCUCUGGUCUGUAACUGACGCUGAGGCGCGAAG
rnacentral:rRNA from 1 species